GACAGAGGGGGCAAGCGUUGCUCGGAAUUACUGGGCGUAAAGGGCGCGUAGGCGGGAUGGCAAGUCGGUCGUGAAAUCCCUCGGCUCAACUGAGGAUCGUCGAUCGAUACUGCCGUUCUUGAGGAUUGCAGAGGAGACUGGAAUUCCCGGUGUAGCGGUGAAAUGUGUAGAGAUCGGGAGGAACACCAGUGGCGAAGGCGGCUCACUGGCCCGUAACUGACGCUGAGGCACGAAAGCGUGGGGAGCAAACAGG
rnacentral:rRNA from 1 species